ACGCGGAGACUGGCGUGAGGCAGCAACAGGACGACACGACACCACGGACACACAGGUGAUGACGCACGGGGAGUAUCCAUGGAAACGACAGGAGGAUGUGACACCCUGGACACACAGGAUAUGUGACAUCUUGGACACAGAUGCAGGCAGUUGGAGAAAUCCUUCCCCAGCCCUGGACCUGCAAAUAAAAACAUUACUUUCAAGCUAUUUUUGAAAAACGAAAAGGCUGCAUCAAAACACUGCUGUGCAAGGGAUCAAACUCAAGAAGAUACUCACGGCUUCUUCCCAUCCAGUUCCGAUGAUAAGCUCGGUGACUUUUGCAUCUUGUUCAAAUGUAAUGUCACUGAUGUUGAGGAGACAACAAACGUGAUUCUUUUCACUUCGUUCAUCUGGACAAGAACAGGGCACCCAUCUCCAGCUCCUUCAACUGUUCCCCCACAUUAGGGGAGUUUGUGAAUAUGAGGGGAUACCAGAUAGUACAUGUACGCAGAGAGAAAGAGGAACAGCAGAGGCCAAAAGAUCUGAUACUGGCUCACUGUUAGCAGAUGACAAAUCAAAGAUCAACGGAGAGUGGAUGGAUGCGUGCUUCCUGAAAACUGGAUGCGGUUUUGACUUUAUACUGGAAUGCAGAAAUCUGCAUUUACAUGUUUUCUGCUAGUAAAAUCAUGUCCAAUUGCAGAUUUGAAGUCAAUCAAGAGCUCAUGGUACCCAUUUCUUGGCUUCCCCUGAGCUUUACAACCUGAUUCGGCUUGAGAAACAUUGGUAUAAAGCAUACAUCCAAGUCCAUACUAAUGUCUUCCAUCACGUCAAAAAAACACAAAGAUCACAGUGAAAAUGCUGCCAUGGGAAACGCAUUUGCAGAUGCAACUGUAAAAAUGGAUUUGGAGUACAAAGCAGAACGCUCACAGAUGUAGGCCGGAAGGUAUUAAGCUCUAUUAUACAGCCACAGCUAUUGAAGUGACUGGAACCAAAGAAACUGGAACUAAAAUGACUGCACAAAGAAAUUGUUGACUGAGCUCCAAAACUCCAAAGUACACAGAAAAACAAGAAUAAGCCCAAACAAAAAUGGAUCAAAGUCCUUAAGAUAUUUGGGAAUAAAAUAAAGAAGAUGAAUAAGAGUCUAAGAAAUACAGCCAGUAGAAAUUCACCAUGAUCCAGCAAAUACCUUUGCUAGUAGAAUUGACAGACAGAAACCCAAAGGAAAUGAUCAGCCAAAGAACUGUAAAGUGGUCUACUUUAUUUUAACAGUAACGUAUGCUAUAGGGUUUGCUUUAAGAUCAUCCUGCCAGGCAGGGUGUGAGGUGGACUAGGGAGGGAAUCAGGAAGCAGAAGUGGCCGUGAGUUCUGCUUGCUGUAGAUAAUGAGGACGUGAGAUUGCUGAUUCACUGUACGAGUAGAGAUUAAUUGUGCUGUUGGCUCUACUUUUAUCUGUGUGAAAUUUUCCAUAAUAAAAUUUUAAGCCAUGUUAUCGGAGAGAUUCAAGAAACGAAAUGUGGAAUAAUGCUGGAAGCCAGGGUGCCAUGGAUUUGGACCUUAAGUAAAUAGAAAUAAACGUAUCAAAGUAAAGCUAACACAGUUGAAUGUCAAAUUAGAGUAAAAGAAAAUGACCACACCAUACUUUUCUACACUGUAUUAUGUGCAAGUACUUGCUCCUGGGAAUCCAAGGCUGGUCACCCAGCAGUUGUACCGCUCACCUGGGAGACUCUUCAUCGAGUCCCACUGAGCAGAGAGGAACAGCCACACCUGGUCCCUGACAGUACAGCUCCCUACUAGAGGUCAGUUUGUUCAGACUCCCAGAGCUCCCCUCCUGGUGGCAAGAGGAAGCUUGGAAUGGCUCAGUUGAAUGUGAGAGGUUAUUGCUAAUCAGUAAGAGCCGCCAACUAUCUGUGAUCAAGGCUGGAAAAUGCCAGAGAAGAAAAUAUAAUAACUACAGAAGAGAUGUCAUUAUAUCUGAAAUGAACACAUCUAGGACAAAGACUUACAAGAAACAGGUUUUGAUUAAGAUAUAAAUGCUGGAAAACAAAAGUCAAUGUGCACGUCUCACCAUACCUAUGCUGAACCCCUGAAAAAAGAUUAACUUGUAUUUAUUAGUAGUACCAUUUUGUAAAUGAGGAAACAUACGCAGGAAGGUUAGGAAAUAUUCCAAGGUUGCUGUGAGAGACACAGUGCUUUCAGAGAGCCACUGUCCUCCCUGCAUGGCAGCCUCUCUGGCAAUGGGUUGACGCCAUGUGACUAGUCUAGUGGGCAGAAUGAGUGGAAGUGAUCUUCUCACUUCCUGGAUGAGGCAGUGAAGAAGCAAUGCUCCCCCAGUUCUCUCUUCCCUUCCCACAGGGACCUUAAAGAGCACGUUAGGCUGAUAGCACCAGAAAAUGGACGAAGCCUAGAACUUGAGUCAUAACCUUGCAAACGCCCCAUGAACCCUCAUCAGACUGUGCAUGAAUGAUGAAAAAAUUUGUAAAUUAAGCUGUGAGAUUUUAGGAUCUACUUGUUCUUACAGCAUAGCCUGUCCUACACUGAUAAGAACAGGCACUGAGAUUGCAAGGCUAAAUCUUUCUGACUCUAAAGUCUAUUCAUUUAACUAUUACACUCAAAACAAAAAAAGAAACUACUUCUGCAUGCUUCUUAAAAUAACUAGACAGAUAGGUGGACAUUGUGGCGGGCGCCUGUAGUCUCAGCUACUUGGGAGGCUGAGGCAAGAGAAUCGCUUGAGUCCAGGAGUUUGAGGUUGUUAUGAGCUGUGACGCUAUAGCACUCUACCGAGGGUGAAAUAGUAAGACUCUGUCUCAAAUAAAUAAAUAAAAUAACUAGACAGAGAGUUACAUAAUAAAGGGUGUUAUUUACUCCUCUAAAUAGCUACCAUACCAUAUAGGAAUCCACAUGAUGCUAGCAAAAGAGGACUAGCAUCAGGUAAAGAAGUAAAAUUGUUGUUUCACUAUAGGAAAAUACUUAAAAAUGUUUUACCACUAUAGAAGGGAGCAGACGUCUGUAGAUGUUCUACUGUCCAAAGCCAAAUUGGAACAUAUGCUAAAUGCAUGCUACAGAUGAAUAUUAGAGAUGGAAAGUCUUAAAAUACGUUUAAACUCCAAGUCUUUGGGAGACAAAAAAUAAGCUUGAAUCAAUUUAAAGACAAAACUCUAAUUAGAGGUGGAAUUACUAGUAUAAAAGGUUGGGGUUAGGUACAGUGGUUCACACCCGUAAUCCCAACACUCCGGGAGGCCGAGGCAGGGGGAUCAAUUGAACUCACGAGUUCACGACCAGCUUGAGCAAAAGGGAGACCUCAUCUCUAAAAAAUAGCUGGGUGUUGUGGAGGGUGCCUGUAGUCCUGAUUACUUGGGAGGCUGAGGUAAGAGGAUCUCUUGAGCCCAAGAGUUUGAGGCUGCUGUGAGCUAUGAUGCGACAGCACUCUACUGGUGGCAAGAAAGUGAGAGACUCUGUCUCAAAAAAAAAAAAAUUAAAAAAAAAAUAGUGUAUAAGAUUAAUUUAUGGUCAUGGAGAAGAAAUGGGUAAAAAAAUAACUGUUGCAAUGCAAGCUCUUCUACAAUGUUCCCGAAGGAUAAUGUGGCAGGCAGAAAUUCUCUUUUCUCAAUACUUUCCACCCUAAAUCCCUGGGAUUAUGAAUAUGACAAGAUAUAACACUAUGAAUAUGUUACAUUACAUGGAAAAAGGACCUUUGCAGAUGUAAUUAUGGUUGUUAAUCAUUUGACCUAAAGAAAGGAAGAUUAUUCUGGAUUGUCUGGGUGGGUCUAAUCUAAUAACAUGGGUCUUUUAAAACACAAUGUUUUCUGCAGCAGCAGCAGUCAGAGAUUCAAAGCAUAAAGAGUCAUUUGAGACAUCAUUGCUGGCUUUGAAGAAGGAGGGGGUCACAUGCCAAGGAAUGCAGAUAACUUACAGGGGCUAAGAACAGUCCUGGCUGACAAUGAGGCAUUAAAUGGGGACCUCAGUUCUACAACCUCAGGGGACCAAAUUCAGCUACUAGACUGAAUGAUCGUGGAAGAUUCUUCCCUGGGCCCUCCAGAUAAGAGUCUAGACUGGCAGACAUCUUGAUUUCAGCCUUGGGAGAUCUUAAACAGAGAACACAGCAACGAUAGAAACAUAAUGCAAUUGGCUCUGUGCCCAUAACUCAGUGAGUAGGGCGCCAGCCAUAUACACUGAGGCUAGCGGGUUCAAGCCUGGCCCAGGCCUGCUAAAUAACAAUGACAAAUGCAACAAAAAAUAGCUGGGUAUUGUGGUUGGCGCGUGUAGUCCCAGCUACUUAGGAGGCUGAGGCAAGAGACUCGCUUAAGCCCAAGAGUUUGAGGUUGCUGUGAGCUGUGACACCAUGGCCCUCUACCAAAAGCAACAUAGUGAGACUCUAUCUCAAAAAAUAUUAAAAA